rnacentral:rRNA from 1 species
UACAGAGAUGGCAAGCGUUGUUCGGAAUCGCUGGGCUUAAAGCGCGUGUAGGCGGAGCGAUGGGUGCUUUGUGAAAUCCCCCGGCUCAACCGGGGAACUGCUUGGCAAACCGGCGCUCUUGAGGCAGGUAGAGGUCACUGGAUCCAUAGGUGGAGCGGUGAAAUGCGUAGAGAUCUAUGGGAACGCCGGUGGCGAAAGCGAGUGACUGGGCCUGUUCUGACGCUGAGACGCGAAAGCGUGGGUAGCAAACAGG